rnacentral:lncRNA from 10 species
UGAGGCUGCUGAAGUUACCAUUAAAGCUACAGGAACUUUUAAGAAAGUUUUUGAAGACACACUGUGUCUGAAGGGACCAUGAAAAGUUAAUGAUCAUACUUGCCUGUGUUACCAGAUGUCUUAGUCUGUUUUGUGUGGCUGUAACAGAAUGUGACAAACUUGGUAAUUUAUAAUAUAAAGAACAGAAAUUACUUUUCUCACAGUUCUGGAGGCCAAGAAGCCCAAGAUCAAGGUGCUGGCAGGCUUGGUGUCUGGUAAGGGCCUGGAGUGCUUAAGAGGGAUUUCUUCCAGCUCUCUUGCCCUGGUCUUCAGUGUAUUAGAUGUAUUACCUCCAUGCUCUCAGUAGAGGCCCAUAGGAAAGAGUAGGUAGGUUAUGCCAGCUCACACGCAUCCUUUAAAAAUGGUUUAGAAGUUUAGCUGGUUUCUUAUUACUCCUGUCUAUGGAUGUUUCCUUCUGUCACUCUACUAGGGAUGAAACAGCUAAUCAUGUUCAAUAGUUACAUUUAGAUUGGUUUUUAAAAACUAUGAUUGUAUUAGUUCGUUUCCAUGCUGCUGAUAAAGACAUAUCUGAGACUGGAAACAAAAAG